rnacentral:rRNA from 1 species
GAUGAACGCUGGCGGCGUGCCUAACACAUGCAAGUCGAACGGAAAGACGAUGAGUUUGUUCGCUUGACGUUUGCGGCGGGCGGGUGAGUAACGCGUGGAUCACCCCCUUAUCUUACGGGGAUCAUUACGGGACUCCGGAUAUAAUACGAGAUAAUAUACUGAACCGCGUGGUGCAAUAGAGAAUGUCGGCUUUGCUGUCUGUAAUCGCUGCUUCCGGGCUGCAUUAGCUGGUUGGUAGGGUAACGGCCUAUCAAGGCGACGAUGCGUGGCCGAACUGAGAGGCUGAUAGGCCACACGGGAGCUGGGACACGGUCAAGACUCCUACGGGAGGCAGCAGUAGGGAAUGUGCGGCAAUGGGCGAAAGCCUGACGGAGCAACGCCGCGUGAGUGAAGAAGGCCUUCGGUUCGUAAAGCCCUGUUAUUGGGGAAGAACAGAUGUGGAAGGAAAUGUAGCCGUCGUGACGGUACCUAAUCAAGAAGCACCGGCUAACUACGUG